AUUGAACGCUGGCGGCAGGCCUAACACAUGCAAGUCGAACGAGUGGCGGACGGGUGAGUAAUGUCUGGGAAACUGCCUGAUGGAGGGGGAUAACUACUGGAAACGGUAGCUAAUACCGCAUACCAUCAGAUGUGCCCAGAUGGGAUUAGCUAGUUGGUGGGGUAAAGGCUCACCUAGGCGACGAUCCCUAGCUGGUCUGAGAGGAUGACCAGCCAAACAGGAAAUGGGCCACGGUCCAGACUCCUACGGGAGGCAGCAGUGGGGAAUAUUGCACAAUGGGCGCAAGCCUGAUGCAGCCAUGCCGCGUGGAUGAAGAAGGCCUGCGGGUUUGAAAGUAAUUUCAGCGGGGAGGCGUUACCCGCAGAAGAAGCACCGGCUAACUCCGUGCCAGCAGGCGCGGUAAUAC
rnacentral:rRNA from 1 species